rnacentral:rRNA from 1 species
GACGGAGGAUGCAAGUGUUAUCCGGAAUCGCUGGGCGUAAAGCGUCUGUAGGUGGUCAAAUAAGUCAACUGUUAAAUCUUGAGGCUCAACCUCAAAAUCGCAGUCGAAACUAUUAGACUAGAGUAUAGUAGGGGUAAAGGGAAUUUCCAGUGGAGCGGUGAAAUGCGUAGAGAUCGGAAAGAACACCAACGGCGAAAGCACUCUGCUGGGCC